rnacentral:lncRNA from 1 species
GGGAGGGGGUGGAGGGGGGAGUGGAGGCGCGAUACGAACCCGUGGGAGCCUCCCCAACCCCGCAGUCCCAGCGGCAAACUGUGCUUGGUCGGACGGAUGCCCGCGCGGAGGGGUAGCCACGGGAGUGCCUCCGCCCAUGACAGCAGUGUGCAGGAAGCUGACCUGGAGCUGGGAAGCCGGGAGAAGGCACGUGGGGUUCCACCUAGAUAAACCCCAAAAAGACAGCUCCAGUGAGGGACUAGCAAACCUGAGACCAGGUAGGGAGCAGCGUGUCCGCAGGGGCAAGGAUGGAGCACCAAGUGCCAGAGCCUGAGAUUUGGGCUCUCACAUCCCUCCUUGGGAGUACUUGUGGCCCCUGGAUAGUCAUCACGUGCAAGCCUCGGACCCCUUGGAGGGGUUAGGGAGGGAUCUGUGGUCCCCCUCUCAUGUCGGCUACUGAAACCCCUGGGUUCCUUGAAACAAUCUAGCCUACACCAGGAGCGUCCAUCUUAAAGCUGGUGGCUUUUGGUUCCCCAGGACCCUGCUUAACUCCCAUGACGUCAGAUCACCACUUAGAGCGUCUUGAUGCCCAGGCUAGAAGGAUCUCGGUUGCACCAGCUUUCCCCACUGC